UGAAACCUGACUCCCCUCGCUUGGUCACGCAGUUCUUCUCUGUUCCAGGAUUGGCCGUGUGAUACAAUUCUGGCCAAAGCGACACAGGAGAAACUCUCCUGGCAGGCGUUCUUGUUCUUAAGAUGAAAUGUCGGGGAAGUACAGAUUCUUUUACUUUGAACUUUUGGUCCUUUCGUGAGGCUGGGGCUGUUCCCCUCGGACUAGGAUGGGGCAGCUCUGAGACGGGAGCCGACAUGUUGAAGACGGCGCCGCAGGCAGAGAUGCUCUGGGUUCUCAGGGGUGUCGAGGAGGCUGCUUGCCUUUGAACUUCCUUUUUUAUAAGAAUUGAUACUUCUAAAAAGAUCUCAUUGGUGUCAACAAUUCUGGAUUCUCAUUUUGAACUACUUGAAUAAGAAGAGGCUGAAACUAUUUGGAUAAAGUAAUACAUGUAACUUACUUGACUUCAAAGCACACUGACUGAACUGUACUUCAUCCUAAAGUUAUCAACUGGAAAAGAAAAAAAUUUUUUAAAACUCUAUUGGAACUAAUCUCAUUUAGAAAUGUAAAGCUUUUUUGGGCUAAAUUAGAAUGCUUGUAAAUCACUAUGAAAGUUUUAGAGAAGUCAACAUAAUAUUAUUAUUCCUGACCUCUUAGACCCAAGAUGUCUAUUUCAAGUAAUUUGACAUUAAAAAUGUGCUGACAAAUAAAGAUUAAAAAACAACACAGGAAGUUGUAAAUUAGUUGGUAACCCUUUGCAUUUAGGAAAUCAGAGACCACGAAAAUACAGUCAUUUACUUCAGUCAACCUCAACCAUAAUUUUUAACUUAAGAAAAUUUGUAGAAAGCACGAUGUUUACAUUUUGGAUAUUUUAUUCAUAGUUUGUGUGUUUUCUUUUUCUCCAGGGGGCUCAUAAAUUAUUACAAGGAAACAUGUCACAGUUAUAAAUAUUUCCCUCUCUGCUUAGCUCUAUCCUCCAACCCUCCCCCUAUCCUUUUAAAAAACUCCACUGAUUCUUUUACUGUAUUGGGUUCUUCUUUGGUCAGCACGGCAGGAUUUUCUUGCUUCAGAGGAAACUGCUGUUGAUUACUGUUACAUGCCUGGCAUUCUAGAAACAGGGCUCUUUCAGGAAGCACCCAAACCCCUCCUCCCAUGCAGGGCAGCCCCUUAUACACAUGGGUGCCGUUAUUUCAAUGAUCUAAAAAGAGUCAUGUCUUUCCCUACAGGGAACAGCUUUAGGUGCUGUAAGGUUCCAAGGCUUUUUGUGGAAUCUGAAUUCUUGGAAAUUAACCAAAAAACUGAUUUUGUGGACAAUGGCAUAUACAGCAAUAGAUUUUCUCAAAAAAGACCAUCCACCCAUAAUCUGUAGAUCAUGCUAGUUAAAAACAAACAGCAACUCUAAAAAAUUUAGGUAAUAUCUCUAUUCCAGAUUUGAAUGUUUUAGAAACCUGGAUUUUUCCCCUUACAUGUGUAGUCACAGUACUGGAUUGGCUCUGCCACUCAGUAGAGUGUGUGUCUGAGAUGUGGUUUCUUUAUUUGUAAAAUAAGGGGGUUGGACUAGGCUCAUCACUAGUCCAGUUACAGACAAUACAACAUAGGUUACCAAAAUCAAGUGACUUUUCUCCAGUUGUAUCAGACUCAAAAGACAUCGGCCUAUGCAUAUCCUCAGAUUGGUAUUUUUCUGUCACGAUGUAGAAGAAUAUUUGGGUUACACACUCAGUUACUUACUGGAAUCUUACUAGGCUGCAGCUUUUCCAUCUUUCUACCUAAUGAUCUUCUCUAAAUGUACCCUCCCCUCCACUUUCUUUAUCUUUCAAUGACAUCAACAGCUUCUUGGUUACUAGACUUAAAAUCUUGUGAUUGUCUUCAGGUGUUCUCUCUCUCCCUGUUCCUAACAUUAAAUCAGCCACAAAAUGUGUUGGGGGCACCUCUGUGAUUUCAGUUACACCUGCCCCCUUCCUAUUCAUGACAAUGCCCAUCUUAUAGCCUUCAGAUCCAGGUUCUUGCCUUCAGAGAUCUUGACCUCCAGCCAUUCUGGGCUAUUCCCUUGUCCCCAUUCUGCCCACUGUCUGGAACAUAGUGGGUGCUCAAUAAAUAUUAGUUACAUGAAAAAAAAAAAAGGAAAGAAAAGGAUGGAUGGAGGUACUUUCCAGCCCUGAAUCUUGUCUGGGCUGUCCCCUUUGCCAUGGGGUGGGA